rnacentral:misc_RNA from 1 species
AUCUGCUGCUGGUGCCAGUCUACAUGUAUCCCGUAUAGUCGAUAAUGACAUGUCUACCUGUACCCGCUUAUCAGCUCCAGCUAGCUUUACAUUAUCAGAAUGUUAUCGACAUUCAAAUCACCGUAUAUGUGACUUCAGACGAAACUCGUUAGAUAGUAUUAUUACGUAAGACACAUUAAAACUGGUUACCAGUACGUCUGUUAACGAGACCAUUAUACUCCGGUAGGGGAGUAGAUGUGUAGUUCGUGGACACGGAAGGCCUACCAGGAUCUGGCAGCGCCAUUAGUGCGUCAUUGUAUUGUCACCACGGUACCUUUAGCCUUGUUGGACUCAUACGGUUAAUCCAGUGCUUACUGACAUGGAACCAUCGCAAGGUAUUAGCUACUGGAGAUAACCAAAUAUUAAGUUAUUAACAAUACACGGAGCGCGUUAUCAAACGCGGAGAAGCAGGGUCGCGGAACACGCUAAUGUGCUUGCUCACCUGUGACAUUGACAUGGACAAACACGAAACAUGCGCGAGGUAUUCUGGGUCUGACUGGAGUCGGGAACUAGCUAUGGUAGUGUUUCUUGCCGUUCGAGGAUUAACAUAAAGUUGUGUCUGGAAAUUGUUAGUGGGAAUUGUUGGUGUUUGAUGGCACGUAGUAUGUGUCUAUGAUACGGUGAUUAGAUUUGCAAUUGACACUGGGAUAUAGAAAUGCGGAAGAUACUGAAAAAGUGGACUUAGAAUGUGGAUGUACAAAUCAGAUCUCAAUUAUAUUAUCCGGAUUUUAUUCUUUUUGGGCCUUGUGUGUUCCUUUGUACCUGCGACGUUUGGGUCGACUGGAUGUGGGGGGUAUUUGACGAUUUCCGCCGGCAUCACCCGGUCAUUCGGGGUGCCCCCCGGGUACCCUGCUUACUCCCACUGUAUAUGGAUCAUUGUGGCCGAACCGGAUCUCCACGCCAGACUCUCCAUCCUGUCGUUUUCAGGGCAGACAUACGGUGGAGACUGUGUGGACACACUCACGGUGAGGGAUGGGGACAUCGAUCAGGCUGAUCUCCUCGAAACUACUUGUGGUACCGUCAGUAACACCGUUGUCACUUCAUCCGGUAGAUGGCUCUGGGUACAGUUUAAAAGCGAUGGGUCCGACUCGACAUCCUCGGUUUCUCUGUCACUCACGACAGUCACUGCAGGUCAUUCGAUGGAAAAUCUCACAAAUCCUCUUGCAGCGUGUAAAUCGUUCGAGUUUCAAUGCUCUAACCUUGUGUGUUUACCUCGAUCCUACAUUUGUGAUGGGUUUAAUGACUGUGGCUGCAUGGAAAACUGUGACGAAUCGGAUUGUAUCGGUCUGGGUUUUGCACCUCUCACACAGCUCGGCUUCUCGGCUGGGAUCGGGGUGGGAAUGUUUAUCUUCAUCUUCAUCUUUGUGUGGUUGUGGGAGAAACGUCGGCGGCGAAUGGCCAAACAGAAAGAGCGAGAGGACCGUAUGAAGGAGGAAGGGAGAGGGCGACCCUCAAAGAACAAAAAGGACGACAAAAAGGAUAAAAAGGCUAAGGUGGCAUGGCAUAAAUAAUGUCGCUAUUACGUUAUCCUUAGCAAGUUCUCAGGGUCAUGAAGUGUGUACAGUUAAACCGUCCAUUACAUUUUCAGCUCGUCAUUUGUUUCUAUGACAUUCAAAUGCAUUCAACGAAAUCCAUUUUGUUUGUGUCAGUGGCUCUAACUCACGUGCCACGCUUAAGGUAGACUGAACAGUAGAUCCAUGGUCUGGUUUUAAAUAACUAGGACAGACUCUCUGUAGGAAGUUCGUCAAUCUGCUUGCGUUAAGUUGUUAUGUACAUGUUAAGCCAAAACAAAACAUGCAAAGAUUUGCUAUAUCGGACGGUUUUGUAAACAACCUGCAUAAUGAGUCACCUUUUAAGAAAUCACAAACGAUUAACUGUAGCAUGAACACGGUCGUCACUGUUAACACGGUCUAUUGGAGCAGUAUAUGAUAGCUAUGUAUCCUAAUUUAGUUAAUGUUAACACGGUCUACUAGAGUAGUAUAUGAUAGCUAUGUAUCCUGAUUUAGUUAAUGUUAACACGGUGUACUGGAGUAGUAUAUGAUAGCUGUGUAUCCUGAUUUAGUUAAUGUUAACACGGUGUACUGGAGCAGUAUAUGAUAGCUACGUAUCCAGAUUUAGUUAAUGUUAACACGGUCUACUGGAGCAGUAUAUAAUAACUAUGUAUCCUGAUUUAGUUAAUGUUAACACGGUGUACUGGAGCAGUAGAUGAUAGCUAUGUAUCCUGAUUUAGUUAAUGUUAACACGGUGUACUGGAGCAGUAUAUGAUAGCUGUGUAUCCUGAUUUAGUUAAUGUUAACACGGUCUACUGGAGCAGUAUAUAAUAACUAUGUAUCCUGAUUUAGUUAAUGUUAACAUGGUGUACUGGAGCAGUAUAUGAUAGCUAUGUAUCCUGAUUUAGUUAAUGUUAACACGGUCUACUAUAGCUAUGUAUCCUGAUUUAGUUUAAAAGUGUGUCUGGUGUCAGGUCUGAGUUGAUAGUACUAGUACUAUUACUGUGGGAUACUAGUGGAUUAGAAGGGCGGGGGUGGGGUGGGGAGAUGUUCAUUGUAAACCUGUUUCCUAAGUAUUGUAAUGUGAAUCUUGUAAUGGUAAACGUUAUAUUUGUUAUGUGAAUCCUGUAGUGAUAAACAUUAUAUUUGUUAUGUGAAUCCUGUAAUGAUAAACA